AGUGAACGCUGGCGGUAGGCCUAACACAUGCAAGUCGAACGGCAGCACAGUAAGAGCUUGCUCUUACGGGUGGCGAGUGGCGGACGUGUGAGGAAUAUAACGGAAUCUACUUUUUCGUGGGGGAUAACGUAGCGAAACUUACGCUAAUACCGCAUACGACCUACGGGUGAAAGCAGUGGAUCUUUUGACCUUGCGCGAUUGGAUGAGCCGAUGUCGGAUUAGCUAGUUGGCGGGGUAAAGGCCCACCAAGUCGACGAUCCGUAGCUGGUCUGAGAGGAUGGUCAGCCACACUGGAACUGAGACACGGUCCAGACUCCUACGGGAGGCAGCAGUGGGGAAUAUUGGACAAUGGGCGCAAGCCUGAUCCAGCCAUACCGCGUGGGUGAAGAAGGCCUUCGGGUUGUAAAGCCCUUUUGUUGGGAAAGAAAAGCAGCAGGUUAAUACCCCGCUGUUCUGACGGUACCCAAAGAAUAAGCACCGGCUAACUUCGUG
rnacentral:rRNA from 1 species